AUACGGAGGAUGCGAGCGUUAUCAGGAUUUAUUGGGUUUAAAGGGAGCGUAGGUGGGAUAUUAAGUCAGCUGUGAAAGUUUGGGGCUCAACCUUAAAAUUGCAGUUGAUACUGGUUUCCUUGAGUACGGUAUAGGUGGGCGGAAUUCGUGGUGUAGCGGUGAAAUGCUUAGAUAUCACGAAGAACUCCGAUCGCGAAGGCAGCUCACCGGGCGGGAACUGACACUGAUGCUCGAAAGUGCGGGUAUCAAACAGGAUUAGAUACCCUGGUAGUCCGCACAGUAAACGAUGGAUACUCGCUGUCGGCGAUAUACGGUCGGUGGCCAAGCGAAAGCGUUAAGUAUCCCACCUGGGGAGUACGCCGGCAACGGUGAAACUCAAAUGAAUUGACGGGG
rnacentral:rRNA from 1 species